rnacentral:rRNA from 1 species
UGCCAGCCGCCGCGGUAACACGGGGGGCGCGAGCGUUAUUCGGAAUUAUUGGGCGUAAAGGGCGCGCAGGCGGUCUUGUCCGUCAGGUGUGAAAGCUCGGGGCUCAACCCCGGAAGUGCACUUGAAACAGCAAGACUUGAAUACGGGAGAGGAGAGAGGAAUUCCUGGUGUAGAGGUGAAAUUCGUAGAUAUCAGGAGGAACACCGAUGGCGAAGGCAUCUCACUGGCACAUUUCUGACGCUGAGGCGCGAAAGCGUGGGGAGCAAACAGGAUUAGAUA